UCUGGGAAUGAUCACAUCUUGAUUACAUGCAUGAUCACAUGAUCCGUGCAUGACCAAGAAAGUGAAACUAAACUGUCAAGAGAACCAACAUUAUGAGAGAGAAGAAAGCAUGCAGGCCACUUGGUCCCAGCAGUGUUCUGCACUGUCCCAAGGCCACUCACUGGUCCUUGCUGAGUGAAGACCAUUUCCACAGGUUUUGCCUCACAGAGACCCAUUAGGCGAACACUCAUAUGCUGAUACAAAACCUUGCCACAAAGUUCCCAACAAAACACCCACCGGGCAUCUGAUGGAGGACAAACUGUCAGUGGGAAGAAUUCUCACACACCCAUCAGAUGUGUUGUGUUUUGUGUUUUUCCUACCUCAUAAAGCACUCCAAAGAAUUCCAGCUUCCUCCAGACUCUCAUCCUUCCUUGGAGAGAUCAACUAGCCAUCACUCCUUUCAAGGUGGUGAUGGAUGGCCCUCAAGAGCAGUCAAACAUGGAUGUAUUCUGAAGACAGAAGCAAUCAGAUUCCCUCACCGUUUGCACGAUGCCCAAGAAAUAGAGAGAAAAGUCCAGGUUGGCUGGAGACGUGGCUCGGACACAAAGCACUUGACUGAGAGGUAGAACAGUGGUUCUAUCCCUAGGACUGGUGGAGGAGGAAGAAGCCACUGAAAUGGGGACGGCACAGCCAGAGAGUUGGAAGAAAAAGUAGAGAAUCAUGUCCUACAGGCCAAAACGAGAAAACACAGAUGACAUCUCUGGAAAUAGACAUGAGCACUUUCAAAGAGUGAGCUUCUCUCAACUAAAACAUUGCAUUUCAAGAAUGUGUUCUGAGUAAAUACUUCUGACCUUGCAUACAGAUUCAUUGCCAAGCUGAGGACUGUGGGGGUGGUUCUUGACUGUGUGGACAUAACAGCAAAACCAGGAAACAACCUAAUUGUUGGCUAGCAGGUGACCACCCAAACUUGAAUACUCGAUGGCCCUUGAAUAGAUUUGUCUUGUUAAGUACAAGCAAGCAGGUUAUAAACUAUGAUCAUGGACAAGGCCUCACACCAGUCAGGACAUAGGCGCCUCACUCCGAAAGAGUGAUUAAAUACAGGGAAUUCGAUAUUUACAAAGCUGGGAAGGGCUGGCUCAGAUUUCUUGUUGAGUUUUAGGAAGUCGGGAGUGGCUGAAACCACAAGACACCUGAGCCUCUGGAAUCAAAGCACAGAAAGAGCCUGAAGCUCCGAUGCCGAAGCCCACGCAUCUGCCCUCAGACCAUGAGUAGCACUACAGCUGAGGUUUCUCUUCUAGACACCAGGUCUUGUGGCGGUGUCUCUCUUUGGCACGCAGGGGAUUUGAGGACUUUGAGGACUGUAGCUCUCUGGCUUCUGGCCCCUGCUGAGCAGAAGAGCACAGACUAUGAGCGGGAAAUAUCCUGAGCUGCCAGCAGACAAAACUGCACACGUUCAAUAGUAUGGCUUUACAAAGAUAACAUGCUAAAGACAAGGCUGACAGAAUAAACACUGUGGUGAGCCAGAUAACGCCCCCUCCUCGUCCACACCCCCUAAUGCCUGGAACUUGUGACUGUUAUGUUACCAAGCAAAGGGGACUUCACAGACACAAGUAAGUCUACAGAUCAUGAAACUAGGGGAGUCUCAGGAAUCCAUAAAAGCAGGGCACGUGCCCUUGGCUUCUCCUUUGCCAUGUCUCCUAUCUUCUUCUGCAGCAUUGUUCCCCUGCUUUUAUCCAGGUUUGGAAAGGGGUGCUCCAAGCCCAAGGGUCCCCAGCUAUCAUUUUCCCUGAGUAACUAACACCACGUUGUCAGUCCACAGGGGAAAUUGCAUUGUUUCUCCAAAGAGUAGUCAUCUCGCUUUCUUGGCUCCAAUCUCCCUUAGCACAUCUGGGAUGUGUUUACUAGAAGCUUCCCCCGGAGGCCUGGGCCUGGUACAGAAAUUGAGGAGGCUGGAAAUGAGUAAGACUCAUGCCAGGGCACUGAACAGGACUCACCAAUGGCACCUACUUUUCCACAGGAAGCCACAUCAGUAGAGAUUCCGCCAUGGUUUUGCAAGAUAGUUCCAGGGAAAGCCCUCUUGGGUUCUGGCUGGUGGAAGCAGCUCAAAUGCCCCAGGCUUCUCACGCUACCAUGUGCCCUGUUUUUGUUCCAAGUCUAAGACUAACCUUCAGGGCUUGCCUGUUUCCAAGGUCCUUCAAGCAAGGCCUUCCUGACUCUUCUACCUUGAGCUGCAGUUGAUAAUGUGAAUCUACUCCUGUGACCGACCUCCCCUCUAUAUUCCCAGGUUCCUGUGGCUGGAAAAUAGACUCAGUCCAGGUGCCCCUCCUGAGACAUACCAAAAAGCAGCAGGGAAAGCUCACAAAAAGUCCUCGAUGUUCCCAGCAUAGAGGCCAUCUAGUCUCCUGCCUCUAGUGCAGGUCUUCUGGCCUUUCUUGCUAGACCCAACUAACCAUGCUCUUCCUCACUCCCAGCAGUUUACUUGUAUCCAUGUUUGUGUGUGUGUGUCUUCUAGUGUCUUGUUCAAUUUCUCUUCACCUUGGUUUUUGAGGCAGGGUCUCUCACUAACCUGAAGCUCAAUGUUUUGACUAGACUGGCUGGCCAGUGAGCCCCCGGGAUCCUCUGGUCUCCACAGGCCUUCUAACACUGGAAUUACAGAUGCAUGCCACCGUGUUGAGGUUUAUAUGUAUGCCAAAGGCCUGAACUUUGGUCCUCAUGCUUGCACAGCCAAGCACUUUACCCACUGAGCUGUCUCCCCAGGCCCCAUUUGCAUGUUCUUAAUCCAAGAGAAGGAUCGGAAACAAAGUCAUCAAUUCUCUUUCCUUCCUCUUGAAAGACUGUGAACCGAGGCCUGGGGGCGUUUGCCCCUCUGGUGCUCCUGACAUAGUGAUGAGGACAGAAGGCUGCUCAGACAUCUGAAGAGACUCUGCUCUCCGGGCCACCUGGCCUCAUCCCAUUACACACCCAUCACACACCCAUCACACACACGUAGGUGCCCUCCUCCAUCUCUGCAUGUCAUUCUUACUGGAAAAAUCCCCCAACCUUUCCCAGCAUGCCCUGGGCACAGAAGUGGUUCCCCAAGUGUGAUGGUGAUACCAGCCCAGUUCCUAAGAAAGAGCCCUUCCCAGGGGGUUCCACAAAAGCUUUGGGAAAUGGUGAGAAGGUAGGAGGAGGUCACCUGAUUUGGGGGAAAGAGGAAGGAGCCUGGAGGAAGAGGCAGGUGAGUGCUAUGACUUCAGAAGCACCCCUGUGAAGAAGCAGCUGAAGCAGAUGGGCCCAGUUUGUCCUGCCUCAGCACCAGAGCACUGUGCUCUCGCACUCCUACCCAGUGGGGAACACCUACCACACCCAGGACCAACCUCAAAGUGUGGGAGAGGCCCAUGGCUCCUGACUGUGUCUUACCCUAGACACUGGGGCUCAAGCAAGGCCCACAAUAAAAGACAGGUUCUUCAGGACACAAAUGGCAGAAUCUGUUUUCUCCCUGUGUCUGGAGUCUCUGCUCCUUGGCACCCCAG
rnacentral:lncRNA from 1 species